rnacentral:rRNA from 1 species
GACGAACGCUGGCGGCGUGCCUAAUACAUGCAAGUAGGACGCAGUUGCGAACGGGUGAGUCACGCGUAGGUAAGUGCCUAUUAGAGGGGGAUAACUAUUGGAAACGAUAGCUAAUACCGCAUACUCGUAGAUGGACCUGCGUUGUAUUAGCUAGUAGGUAGGGUAAUGGCUUACCUAGGCGGCGAUACAUAGCCGACCUGAGAGGUGGAGUGGCCGGACUGGGACGGAGACAGGGCCCAGACGCCUUCGGGAGGCGGCAGUAGGGAAUCGGCGGCAAUGGGGGGAAACCUGACCGCACUAGGGCGCGUGAGUGAAGAAGGUUUUCGGAUCGUAAAGCUCUGUUGUUAAGGAGGCGGUACUUAACCAGAAAGGGACGGCUAACUACGUGCCAGCAGCCGCGGUAAUAC